UGGGGGGGGGGGCUAUGAACACGUGGACCUCUGGCUCGGGAGCACUUGCAAAAGAAUCUACAGCCGCCCACAGCGAGCACCGGAACGAUGUCAGAAGAGACCUAUGUGCUGGCAGUGAAAGGACGGAGGAACUUCAGAACCCUUAAAAUGCUAAAUGAAGCAUUUGAGAUCAUGGAUUGGGUGAAGAAGGGACGUCCGUUUCAGAGCGAGCAGCCCGGUCAGGAUGGUAACAACCAGUCUGACGUUGAUGAUGACGACGACGACGAUCAUGACGAGGAUGCUGAGCCCAAGCCUCGGGGAGGCUAGAGGUCCGCCAUCGUUCCUGUAUAUGCGCACCGGCGAGAGCCUCGGAGAGGUACCUCCAGGAAAAAAAGGUUAAAUAAAAAUUGUGUCAGUUCAACUUUCCUGUGUCCUUAUUCUCGGUUUUGGGUUAGUUUCCAAAACAACAAGCAAUAUCAACCAAAUAGCGCGAGACAUGUUGCUCCUAGUUUCCUGUGAAUUUAGAGCAAAACCAUUCUUUCCUACAACACAUUGUCAAAAGUUCCCAGCCCCCAGGUAAAAACAAGUUAUAAAGAGCAAAAACUAUUUAUUUAACUGACCAGUGUUCCCAUUCUAUAAGUGCACAAAUUAAAACAAGUUAUAUAAACAAGCUAAACAGGUUAUAUAACUGACCACUUUUUUUCCAAAAUACAUUGUCAAAGAGCAAAAAUAAUUAUUUAAUAUAUCAUUAUCGUUGAAUACAAAAAAGAACCUCCUAGCUCCAGAUAGCUCCCCGGGCGAUUUUCUAUUUCUGAGUAGUUUUGUUAUUUAAUAAAUGACCUUAAGAAAACGAAAUUGAUAGAAAGGAUAUAAGUUUUAAAUAAUGUCAUUAUCAUUGUUAUAAUAUAACAAAUUAGAUAUUUCAAUUUUGUUAUUUAGUUAUUUAAUUAUUUUCGGUGGGAAAAUACAUGUGGCAUCCCGAUCCACACUGCACUCCAGUAGAUGGCAGUAAUCAAUAAGUUGCUUGUCCAAACGGCAUAAACAAUAAUAAAAAGAAGAGUCUUCCAUAAGUAGGUGGCGCCCUCCCGUCAAGCACUGGAUCUCCUAACACAUGGAAAGACCUCAACGCACACAGCAGCAGCAGUAGUAGUAGGAACGACAUCAAAAUUGCUCCGUAUUUCGGCACGGUGAAAAUGGACCCAAAAGCACCAAAGCCCUGCCAUAUCCUUGCGACAAUGGAAAUAGGCUCUGAAUCGCUGGUGUCUGUCCUGUCGGCCCAAGGACCGGCCUUUUCUGGAGCCAAUCCUCUCCCACCCUGGGAUGGGCGAAGGAGAAAGGAGGGGAGGUUGACAUGGUCUGCUGAAACACCCUGUUCGAGCUCGCCCGGGAGAUCGUCUGACCCACGUCCAGGCCACGCCCUUGUUCACGCGUCCCGUCUCGGAAGAAUGCCAGGCUUUGAAUCGCCGGUCUCUGUCCUGUCGACCCAAGGACUGGCCUUUUCUGGAGCCAAUCGUCUCCCACCCUGGGAUGGGCGAAGGGGAGGAGGAGGAGAACAAGAAGUAAAGGCACAGGUUUCUGCGCAGCUCGCGGCUGUGAUCCCUGUCAGUGGACAACCAGAGACUGAUUUUUUUUCUAUUUAGCUUUUUUUUAUUGAUUUAAAAACUGUCACUUGAUUCACUUUAUUAAAGAAAAAAAAACUGCCUGCACUGAGAUUUUAUUUAUUAUUCAUUAGUUUCUCAAUGGUUCAGUGUUAUGCAAUUACACCCGUCUUAUCAUGAAGAGUAUUAUUAAUUAUCAUUUGGCAUUGUACCGUAAUAAUAUAGCAUUAAAAAUCAAAGUGUAGCUUUAAAGAAAAAUGAUUCAAAUAUUUACGAUUAAGGGCUAAAAGCCUGUAACGUUCCAUUAGCAGUUAUGAACCUAUUUAUACCGGCGGUGAAGAUUCUCAGUCAUCCAGGUCAUGGUCAUUCCAAA